AAUGGAGUUACUUAGUUCGAUUCAGAAAUCAGUCUGUCUUCGAAAGUGCUUACAUCGAAAUGUUGCUGAUUAAAUUGUUAUUAAAUUUUGCAUUAAUUGCAUUUGUAUUUUGUUUACCAUCAGCAUCAGUUGGUGACAAUAAUUUGGAAAUUACAACUGAUAUUCAAGAGUCUAGAGAAAAUAACUAUGCAUACACAAUAUAUGGACAACGCUUUCCAAUAAGACAAAAACGUCAGAGUAAUUGUCCUUUGAAGCCAGUUUUGAUAGGAAAACAAUAUAUCUAUGUUCCAAAAUGUUAAAAUGGAACUUUCAAUAAAGAUAUAUGAGUGCAUGACUCAAGUUUGACCAUUAAAAAGUUUUAAUAAAAAUUACAAUUGAAAAAAAAUUAA